rnacentral:sRNA from 1 species
GUUCAAAGAUGGGAGAGGCCGGGCGCGGUGGCUCAUGCCUGUCAUCCCAGCACUUUGCGAGGCCGAGGCAGGCGGAUCACUUGAACCCAGGACUCGAAACCAGCCUGGGCAACGUAGUGGGACCCCCAUCUCUACACAAAAAUUUUUAAAAAUUAGCCAGUGAAGAAAUGGAAGAGGAAAACCGAAUAUCCCAACCCCCACCCAUCGCCCACCCGAGGACGUCCCCCCAGCCGGAGUCGGGCAUCAAGCGACUGUUUAGCUUCUUCUCCCGAGAUAAGAAGCGCCUGGCCAACACGCAGAGAAACGUGCACAUCCAGGAGUCCUUUGGACAGUGGGCAAACACCCACCGCGAUGACGGUUACACAGAGCAAGGACAGGAAGCCCUGCAGCAUCUGUGACCUUGGCCCAUCUCCACCCUCCAACCCGGACUGCCCACCACCAGCGCCUGCGACCGAACUGCAGCCCAGGGGUCAUUGCUGCCUCAAGCCGCUCGGUGCAGACGCACCCUGAAAACUGACCCCUCAAACAGACUGUCUGAUUUGAGGAUGGACAUUGAAAAACCGACGCCAAACUCUAAAGAAAUGUUUAUUUAUACCCAGGGCUAUCACUGUUUCUAAUAGAUGACUCUGAUCCCGUAGGAUAUAUAUUUAAUAAUCCCACAAACGGAGGCCAGACUUCUGCGUUAACUUCAGUAACACAAGCUUCUUUAAGCCAAAUACAUCACUUGCCACUAUCAUUGCUGUUUGACUUGCUUUGUAUAAAAUGCUGU